ACCGGCAAUAUUUAACUGCAGACAUAAAGAUCAGAGCUUGAGCGUCAUCCUCUGGUACAAACAGUUAGAGGACGGACAGAUGCAGUUCCUGGGAUACAUGACUGGAGAUCAAGAAGUUCCUGAAAAAGGAGUUAAUGUGAAGAUAACAGGGAGUGCCGAGAAAGAUCAGACCUGCACAUUAACAAUCAAAGAAGUGGAUCUGAACAGCAGUGCAGUGUAUUUCUGUGCUGCUAGUCUCCACAGUGCUGCAUGUCACCACUCAUCAGUACAAAAACCUCCCUUUAUCUCUAAGACACAGCUCACAGCCUCUUCAACUUAUUGGGCGUUAUUACCAAACCUGUGGUGACAGCUGACAUGAUGACUGUGAUGUGAAGAGGAGGAGGAAGCAGCUCAGACUCCUCCCACCUCAUCACUCUGUCUCCUUUUCUGAAAGGACGUCUUAGUGGCUGCUCUGACACAGGAGACACAACAUGAUCAUCUUAUUCCUGAUCAUUCAUUUCAACAUCUUUCUGGUGUCAGGUUCCUCUCCUGGUAAAAAGGUCACCCAGACUCCAGCUCACGUUUACAUCAAACCAGGAGACAAAACAGCCACACUCAACUGCAGACAUGAAAUUCAAGGCUAUAAUUAUAUCCUCUGGUACAAGCAGUCAGAUGGACAGAUGCAGCUCCUGGGAUAUAUGGCAGUGAGCGCUCCAAACCCAGAGCCAGGCGUGAAGGUGACAAUGGGAGGGAGUGCAGCUGAAAACAAGACCUGCACAUUAACAAUUGAAGAAGCCGACCUGAACAGCAGUGCAGUGUAUUUCUGUGCUGCUAGUCUCCACAGUGCUGCAUGUCACCACUCAUCAGUACAAAAACCUGCUCUCCACAUUUUAUCAUCUCUGUCGGCUCACAGCCGCCCUCACACCUGCAACAAGCCUCUUCAUUUAAAUCUCUGAUCUCUGUGAAUAAUAGAGCAGUGGUUGUUGAAACCACCGCUCUGAAAGAAGUGUUCCUCUCUCUCCUCCUCCACGCCUUUAGAACCUCCAGACUGGACUACUGC